rfam:Danio rerio chromosome 4, GRCz11 reference primary assembly.
GCUGAAAUAGCUUAGUUGGGAGAGUGUUAGACUGAAGAUCUAAAGGUCCCUGGUUAGAACCAGGGUUCGGUA